ensembl:lncRNA
CUACCCUUAGCAAUUCCUCCCCCGCCAUGCUGCUGUGUUAAGAGUCCUGGAAAUAGUGACAUUAUUACAAGUACCUGGUGAUGAGACCCAUGAGACCUCCUAGCACUACAGCCUCAGAGCAGACAGCUAAGGCCAUUUAAUCGAGCCAUACACUUUAAUUUAGGCACCCGGAUAAUCUCCUCUUUGUUAUUCCUCACGUGUUGCCUUUUUUCUUCCGAGAAGCUUUGUUUCUUCUGACUAUCCUGACUGCAGAUGGAUACCAAAGUGUGAGGUGUGAUGGUGCAGCCUUAAACAACAGCUGCUGCAGAAUCAGCUCCUGCUGUCCACCUAGAAGUGCACAAGCACCAAUGUCCUGGAACUGCGAGUGGAGUGAGCAUCACAGGGCUGCAGACUCCUUAGAGGAAACAAAACCCCCCUCCAAGGAGCAGCAGGAGGUGGCACAGACUCACUGGCCACAAGGAGCAGUCCCUGCCCACGGGCCCUGAAGGAUGAGCCCACAGAUUCAAGAAGAACCGGCUGUUGAGUGGCCACACUGACAACAACCUCUGACUGACCACUGUGACUGGGAGAAGUGCCCCACAAGGGCAGGAGGACCCAGGAAACUAAAGGCCAGUCAACCUCAAAUUGGAGAGGGAAGGUGAUGAAGCAGCUAGUCCUGGAAACCACUUCCAGACAUAUAAGCCACAGGAAAAUCAUCACAAGUAGACAGCUUGGAAUCACCAACAACUCAUCCUUGACCAACUUGGUAAAGCUUCAGUAUUGAAACAACCACAUCCAGUUCUGGACUCCCCAAGGGGGCCAUGGAACUACAGGAAAUACUUCAGCAAAAGGUUGCUAAGAUGAAGGGACUGCAAUGUUUCCCAUGUGAGGAAAAGCUAAGGGAACUGGGACUGGCCAGCCCAGGGGCAUCUCAUCAACACACACAAAUACCUGAAGAAGGGAAGAGUACAAAGAGGAGAGAGAGACUCUUUUCAGUGGUACCUAAUGACAAGACAAAAGGUAACAGGCACAAACUGAAGCAGAGGUGGCUCUGUCUGACCAUCAGGAGGCACUUUUGUGCUAUGCAAACAAUGGAAAAUUGGCAUAGUUGCCCAGAGAGCUUCUGGACUCUCCUCCUUUGAGGAGCUUCAAAAGCCACCUGGACAUGGUCCUGGGCAUCUGCUCUGGGCAGCACUACUGGAGAGGGGCUGGGCCAGAGGACACAGAGGUCCCUUCUAACCUCAAUCAGUCAAUGAUUCUGUGAAGAAAAGUUUAAAUCAUACAUGCAGAAAACGGCUGCAGACCUUAAAACAGUGCCUGAUUCCUUCUGCUGUCUCCUGAACCAGCUAGUCCUCUCUGACUUGCUAUUCAGCACCUUCUUGUAAUCAUCGAGAACACUUCUAAUUGGCCACUAUAGAAUACCACAUCUCUAGCAUACUCAUACCACAUCUGAAUUACUCACUGCUCCUGCUUUGAAUCACGACCAAUGAUGAUUGGACUAGAUCCUCUUGUAGAUCCUUUCCAACCCUGUGGUUCUACGAUUCUAUGGGGGUACAGCCUUGGAGAAAGGAAAUAAUAUAAAGGUGAAGAUACCUGCAAAAAAGGACACCUCCUUCAGCCCUUCCAACUGCACGAGCAGCAGAAUAAACUGAUUACAAAACCCGCAGGCAUUUUCUCUGGCAGGACAGAGAAACAUAUUACUAAGAG